ACACAAUGGAGCUGGAGUGGUGGGAGUGCCCAUGAGGUGAUUUACCUGGGGUUGCCCUUCUGCAGAUGGCCCUGGGUGUGUCCAUCUGAGAUGUCUCAGAAGGUAUUGUGUGCUGGCCAGUAGAGUGAAACAACAAAGAGAUCCUUUGGUGGCAACUGAAGAACAGUAGCAUUGUAAUCACCAGGGACCAGCAGGAUGCCAGCUUCUUGGACCUAACCUGCCUUCAUGGAUAGUCAGUCAGUGUCACUCAAACUAGGUUCUGCUAACUGUAAACUGUCUUUGGCAUUCUCUACAAGCAAGGAAGAAAGGAAACGAACACUUCCCGAGGCCCAGCUCUGUGCCUGCACCAUGAGCAAGAGGAUUGAAUGGGCCUCCUGGUUUCCACCGCCAUCUUGUCUCCAGAAGGCAUCAGCAUCUCAGGAUCCAGUUCAAGAACCCAGAAGCUUCAUCUCUUCCCAGGACCAGCUGCUGAGCCCAAUACCCAGAGCUGGGCAGGAAGAGCCCAGGCCCUUGAAUAGCGAUGACAUAAGUUAGCCCUCCUUCCCCCAGCCAAGCUCUGCUUUGGAACCCGUGAGGCACCAGUGGUUUCCAGCAUGGCACCGUGAGCCUUGAGUUCCUUUUGGGCGCACAUUUCCUGACCUCAGCGCCUUGAUUCCUUUUCCUUUUCCUUCAAGAAGGUAAGGCCAUCCGUCGCUGUUCGCAAAGCAGAUUUGAAAUGGAAAUCUCCCUUUACCUUUUCUACCAUGACCUGUUGGCUCCUCGUCUUCCACUGGUGUCAGAGGCUGGCAUCCUCCAAGCACACCCACUCAGCUGGGCCGCACCUUGAGCGGAUUUGCAUUACUGGGUUCAGCUCCACGUUACUAAGAGUCUCUUUGGAAAUGGCUGGCUGGUCGCCACUGAGCUGCUUGAAUUUCCGUCAAUGACGUACCUGUGCAGAGAAUCCUAGCUGAUAGGAGGGAGGGAUUGGGCCGGUGAGCAUCUGGGGCUUGAGCUUCCUGCCACCCCUCAGAUGCUCUUCCACAUGGACAAACAGGUGUUCUUGUGGGCAGGAGCCGCAUAUCGCAGGUUAAUUUGUUUCUUUAAGGUUGUUCUUGUCAAGCCCAGAACAACUCAACAGCCACCCCCCCACUUUUAAAAAAAGUUCUUAAGACCGUCUUUACCAUCUUUACAUUCAGCAACACUGAGCAAAUAGUUCUCCGAAGCCACCUCCUGCUUAAAGCUUCUGGAUCUCAGCUCAUGCUGUUCCAGGCUGUUCCCUCUGCCUAGAAUGCAUCACUUCACAAAGAAAGCCUUCCCUUACCCCGCCCCUGUCAGCAGAACUAAAUGCCCUUCCUCUCUGCUCCCUCUACAUAGCUGAUCUUGCACUUCUUCCAUACCUAGCACAAGCCCUUCAUCGGCCACAUUGCAAGGUAAAACCCACCAUAAGCUAAUCACAGCUGGCGUAAAGCUGGACAAAAAAGUCAACAGUGAUUAAGAAGAGCACUUGCAAUACGGUUUUACAGCCUCUAGCCUUAAUGAUGAGCUUCCCUAAAGGUGUACAGCGGGCCUUUAAAAAGUAGCCUCUGUGGAAAACAGUAUGGCGUUUCCUCAGAAAGUUAAAAGUGGAACUUCCAUUUGACCCAGUAAUCCCAAUUCUAGGAAUAUAUUCCAAGAAAAC